rnacentral:rRNA from 1 species
AUUGAACGCUGGCGGCAGGCCUAACACAUGCAAGUCGAGCGGAGCGGCGGACGGGUGAGUAAUGCCUAGGAAUCUGCCUGGUAGUGGGGGUUAACGUCGGGAAACGGGCGCUAAUCCCGAAUCCUUUCAAUUGGGCCUAGGUCGGAUUAGCUAGUUGGGGGGGUAAAGGCUUACCAAGGCGACGAUCCGUAACUGGUCUGAGAGGAUGAUCAGUCACACUGGAACUGAGACACGGUCCAGACUCCUACGGGAGGCAGCAGUGGGGAAUAUUGGACAAUGGGCGAAAGCCUGAUCCAGCCAUGCCGCGUGUGUGAAGAAGGUCUUCGGAUUGUAAAGCACUUUAAGUUGGGAGGCGUUACCAACAGAAUAAGCACCGGCUAACUUCGUGCCAGCAGCCGCGGUAAUUC